rfam:Eutrema salsugineum unplaced genomic scaffold scaffold_1, whole genome shotgun sequence.
AAUCUAUGGUGAGGGCAGUCACGUUCAUACUCUUUAAAACGCUCACAUGCUUCAUAGAAAGGUUCAAACGGUCAUUGCUGAAAACUUGAGAUCUUGAUUCUCAAC